rnacentral:lncRNA from 7 species
UGAGAUCUAUUCCAUCACCAUCCUGUGCUUGAAAGCCUGUAUGUUACAGAACCAGAAUUGCAUGACAGUGAAAGGACUUGGCUAGAUGAAAGCAUGAUACACAAUGCUUCCUGCCACCGUGUCCUCCCUCUGCCAGGGCUUGCUGUCUUCCUUAAGCACACAUUCAGGAGUUGGAACAUGGUGACCUUAUUCCUGGGCACUGAGCCACACAAAUGGAGGGAGGCCAGCCUCUACCCAUGAAGGGUCUGUAUAAUGUGCAGCCUCUGUUGCUGAAGCAGUUUCUGUUGGACACAGUACACAGUCCAAUUCUCACAAAGACAAUUUAGUGCCUGGGUAGGUGGUUCCUAAUCUGUCUAAUUUGUUGUCAUGUAGCCAAUGUGAGUUAAUAAAAUGAUUCAGCAAUUAUCAUGGCUCCUGCUGAAUGUGCUGUCAGCGCUGCUGCUGUAAAUUUCACUGCACUUCCUUAAAUACCCUUGCUCUUGUAAAUACUGUGCAAACCACAGCCUCUUCUGAAUUUCCUUCUAGCAUCCUUGUAAAUAACUGAUUCUGUUGAAUUACAAAAUUUUCGGUAUGUUUCUAGAUUCUUGAAAGCUUUUAAUCAGCCUACAAAGAGAGUUCUAGGGAAACAGGUUUUCCUAGAAAGUCAUCCAUGUGCUGAGGGACUAUUUCUACUCCUGCAAACAUCUGUGACAACUAUUCUAAUAUCUUUGAUCUUUCUUUAAUAACACUUGCCUUCUGGCAGGAAAAAAGAUUUAAAGUGUAUCUUAUCCAAUUUGAAAAUUAUUUGCAUAUUUUUCCUUUCAUUGGACUGCUAAGCGAAAUUUCCCUACCCAUGAGUUUCUUGUGUGGCUAGGUAGAAAGAAGAGUUACAUGGAAACUUCCCAGGUGGUCUGGGAAGAGAUCUCCAGCCUGGAGGCUGGUUCAACUGUGGGAGAUCAAUCCCCUGGCAAUUCCAAAACUCCAAAAUAGCUAUAAAUGUGAGCAGCUUUACUGUGCCAUCCUUGAUCCAGUCCAGCAAUGUCCUCAGAAAAACAGCCUGUAUGCCUCAGUAUUUUCAGUCAGUGAUCCCUGACAGCAAUAGUAUAGAAGUACAUUGUCCUUGUUUCCCUUAUGCUUCUGCAUCUGUAUUUCUAAGAACCUAUGGAUCAUCACAGUCUAGCAGAGAUCCCUGAACUGUAUAAACGAAUAGCAAACAGACAGUGCAGCAUUUCAGACUGUUAUGUGCAAGUGGUAACACAGGUAAUAAGGUAAUACAAAAACAUGAGUGGGACACACACAGGCCUGUGUCUCCAGUGUGGGGUUUUCCAGAAGAGGAUGUUCUUUCUGCUAGACCUGGCUGAUAAUGCAUAGGCAUUGAAAUGCCUUAGUAAAAGUUGUUCUAUGAGUUCUGUGAGAGAAAAAUUCACUUCAGUGUAAGAUUCAAUUCAGUGUUUUGUCUCCAGUUCAUGUGGCAAAAUGAAACAUUCAGGCAAAAUACUUAUCUUGACGCUUAAGAGGAGCUGAAUGAUCCAAAGUGGGGUAAGUGGAGAUGUGCAAUUCAAAAACUGUACACAACACCUAUAUUUGCACUGUAAUCUUAAUUCAUUUGCCACUGAUUGUAACCCAAUGCUACAGACUUCUCUGUAUAUAAAACCAUAACCAUGUCCCACUUGCUUUCAAUAGCAUACAAUAAAGGCUUAUAUCUCUAUAC